rnacentral:rRNA from 1 species
UACAGAGGGGGGCAAGCGUUAUUCGGAAUUAUUGGGCGUAAAGGGCGCGUAGGCGGCCAUUCAAGUGACGGGUGAAAGCCCUCGGCUUAACCGAGGAACUGCCUGUCAGACUGGAUGGCUUGAGACCGGGAGAGGUGAGUGGAAUUCCCAGUGUAGCGGUGAAAUGCGUAGAUAUUGGGAGGAACACCAGUGGCGAAGGCGGCUCACUGGACCGGAACUGACGCUGAGGCGCGAAAGCGUGGGGAGCAAACAGG